AGGGUUUGAUUAUGGCUCAGGAUGAACGCUGGCGGCGUGCCUAACACAUGCAAGUCGAGCGAGAAGCUGAUGACUGAUUCUUCGGAUGAGAGAUUCAGUGGAAAGCGGCGGACGGGUGAGUAACGCGUAGGCAACCUGCCCUUUGCAGAGGGAUAGCCAUUGGAAACGAUGAUUAAAACCUCAUAAUACCUUUUUCCUGCAUAGGAGAGAGGUCAAAGAUUUAUCGGCAAAGGAUGGGCCUGCGUCUGAUUAGCUGGUUGGUGGGGUAACGGCUCACCAAGGCGACGAUCAGUAGCCGACCUGAGAGGGUGAUCGGCCACAUUGGAACUGAGACACGGUCCAA
rnacentral:rRNA from 1 species